rnacentral:rRNA from 1 species
GAUGAACGCUGGCGGCGUGCCUAAUACAUGCAAGUCGAGCGAACAGACGAGGAGCUUUCUCCUCUGACGUUAGCGGCGGACGUGUGAGUAACACGUGGAUAACCUACCUAUAAUACUGGGAUAACUUCGGGAAACCGGAUCUAAUACCGGAUAAUAUAUUGAACCGCAGGGUUCAAUAGUGAAAGACGGUUUUGCUGUCACUUAUAGAUGGCUCCGCGCCGCAUUAGCUAGUUGGUAAGGUAACGGCCUACCAAGGCAACGAUGCGUAGCCGACCUGAGAGGGUGAUCGGCCACACUGGAACUGAGACACGGUCCAGACUCCUACGGGAGGCAGCAGUAGGGAAUCUUCCGAAAUGGGCGAAAGCUUGAAGGAGCAACGCCGCGUGAGUGAUGAAGGUCUUCGGAUCGUAAAACUCUGUUAUUAGGGAAGAACAAAUGCGUAAGUACAUACGCACGUCUUGACGGUACCUACUCAGAAAGCCCCGGCUAACUACGUG